ACCGUCUAUGAUUCUUUCAAAUUUUGAUUUGUGAACGCUCCAGAGUAUUACCUCAACGUUCUGAUAGCUCCAGAGUAUUACCUCAACUAUCAACACUAAAAUCUUAAGAUUUUAGGAGAAAUGAAAAACUUCAUUCAAACUUAAUUUCAUUCUGAUUACAAACGAGCAUCAAGGCUCUUAUUUAUAGCGGAGUAGGACUCACAAGUAGUUCACAUGUCCCUAUCCGUGACAGCUAUUAAAGCAAAAAGAAAAACGCACUAAAGAAAACGGACAAACAAUAAUUUACAUAAAGUAGAUGCCUU
rnacentral:lncRNA from 1 species